rnacentral:lncRNA from 1 species
CUUUCGCUGUGGCCUGAGCGUGAUCCACGUCGGUUAAUUUCACAGUUUUUUUCAACUGGCCGUUUCUCAUUUUUGUCGUCUACGGCAUCGCACAUAAUCACGUCGCUAAUCGUCCGUCGACUAUAUCACCUCUCUCUGCGACAUCAGCCGUGUUUGUUUAGUGUUGACGUGUCGCACGGUUUGUCAGUCGGCAGAAUGGGAACCACUGGAAAUUGGACCUUGUGAACGUUCAGGUGUAACAACGUUCCCUUUCACCGCCGGCUCGACGACACGUAGACAACAACAACUGUCGCCGCCGCCGCCCGCUGCCGUCUCCCCUCCGCGCAACGCCUGACUCGGAACGCCGACUGACGACGUACAAUAAUUGAACGUGUACUGCGUAGCAGCAUCGUAUGGCGUCGGUGCACUGCGGACCGGUCGGCCAUUUAUCUCGAAACUUCACUUCUUCCUCGUCGGUACCUGCUGCUCUGCUGUGUGCGCACUGUGUUCGUCUCGUCGCCUCCAAAAGCCGACGGUGAUAGUUUUCCGUUCUGUACGCCAUCGGCCGUCAUUACAUGGACAGGUAUCAUUCCGACAGCGAGAACUUGUGUAUUCGGUACCGGUAAUUGCAGAAUUUCAGUCUUGCCAUGAAAGCCUGACCUACGAACACUGACCACAUCCAGAUCAACGUCAAUGGUUGUUCGUCGUGCAGAGUAUCCGGAACUGUUACAUUGUUACUGGUUUGCAUGUUACUAUUAAAAAUAGUUUUAUCGUUUUUCAUCAUAUUUGACAUGAGCUGAUUAUUUCUCAUGUACAAAAUAGGUACGUACUAACCAACAGUAUGACAAUCUUCCGCUAUGCACAUAGAAAUGUAUCAAAGAAACACAGUAGAGGGGCCCACAUAAGAGGUUCAUUGUUUUGAAGGAUUAAAAUGUUUCUGUGAUAACAUUAAAAUUGAAAUAUUUAUCACUAGAUUGUGUAUUAUUUUCUGAAUUCAGAGACAUUAAAAUGUAAUUUUUUGGUUUAUUUCACAUAAGAGGCUAUUAGCUUUGCCCUGAGCAACAUCAUGUUAAAUUUAAUGCAUUUGCUGGAAUUAAAAACCAAAUAACUUCAUUUUGACGAGAAAUUCAAUAUGGUUAUGGAUCAAUGGAAUAAUAGAAAAUAUUUAAAUUCCUUAGAUGAAAAUAAAAUCAUAUUAUUAUUAAAAUACCUAUUCAAGAAACCAAUACAUUUUUUACUUUGUGGCUAUUUACUUGUUUUAUUUUCUUUAAACGUAUACAGCUGUAAGCAUGGUAGGUACAUUAGUAAUGAAAUUAUUUUGUCAUUGUCAUAUAAAACUUAUAGAUAGCCAAUUCCUAACAAGUUUUAAAAUAUUUGGGACAUCUGAAAUUUAUACUUGUAGCCAUAUUAUGCCAAUUAUUUCUAAGAUUAUACAUUGAGUCAACCACAGUUAUUUUCUAUAAAUCUUUUGAAUAUGGUGAAGUUUAGUUAACUUUUUAAUUUGGCCAUUUAAAGAAAAAAUGCAUGGUUAAUAUAAUUUUCCAUAUGUUAUGAGUUUAUUUCUGCAGUCGAAUAGUAAAUUAAAUAUUUAAAAUUGUUUAAUUCACUUUAAAAAUUGAAAACUUUUUUUAUCCAUAUGAUUGAGUAAUAAAAUGAUAUAAACUGUGUACAUAAACAACAAAUGUAUAUAUUUUUUUAAGAAAUAUGCCAUAUAAAUACAAUUAGGUAAUAUCUUAGUGUAAAUUUUCAUAACAACACAAGUAGUCAAUAAUUUACAAGAUCUAACACCAAAUAAUAAAGUUGAACAGCAAAUGAAAAAAUUAUAAAAACGUAAAAAAUAAAUAUUAAAAUACCUAGUACUAAACCCUAAGUAUUUGUUAUUUAUUUAUUUAAGUCUUAGUUGGUCCUCUGUCCAACUUUGAUACUGUUUUGUACAUUAACGUCCUUUACAUUGAAAAAUAAACAAAGAACUCUUGUUAGGUAUAUUUGGAUUAAUUAUAUUUAUUCUUGCUUCAGAAAAUAUACGUUUAAUAGACACAAAAAGUUUGACUGGUUACAAUUUGACUUCUUAAAAUAAUAAU